CGUUUAUGUCCAAUCGAAAUUCAGACGCAUCGAAUUGUUAUAAAAUUUAAUAAUAUUCGUGCUUGCAGCAACCCUCCUACCCCUCGAUUGCCCCCGGCCGCACAACAGGCCCUGCCCCGUCUCUCGUUUGGCUCAGGUUUUUGAAGUUUUAUUGUGGGCUUUAUUAAAUGGCAGACAGGCAGAAGUUUGGCAAACAUUCUGUGUGGUUUUAGCGGCCACAUCAAGUAUACGCACCAUAAAUCAGGGCCAGGAGCCGCAGAGGCUCCAUUCUGGGAUUCUGGGCCCCGGUAUCUGACCCAAUGACGUAUUAAAGGCAUUAAACUCGCUCUUAAAUCGCCAACUUGGCCGUCCGUCAUAACGGACGAUCCGAUUUCCCACUUUCUGCCCCUAUAAACAUAUCAACAACGAUCUGUGCGAGUGCCAGUAAUUUGCCUGAAGGCAUUCAAAAUGUUAUCGUAAAUUAUAGAAUGGAAUCCAUUAAUGUGCACACACACACACACACACACACACACACACACACAAACAGA